GCUGUAGGGAGCACUACACAGCCGACUAUUUACCUUGGAAUGGUGCUGAUGCACAAGGUGAAUUUUGAUGCGAGAUAGAAUAUGACAUGAUCCACGACUACAAGGUUCUCUAGGACGUGUUUCAAAGGUGGAGAUAAGCAAGUAAACGCAGGCACAACCUGUUCGAAGAAAGCACAGGAUGUUUUUGAGGUGUCGGUCUUCUUCUUUGGGGACGCUCACACCCACUACUCUGUCGGCUCCAUUGGCAGGGAAAAGGGUUCUUCCAUUCUCUGUGAGUAUUGUCUUUGAAGGGAAAUGAGUAUUGUAGAUGGGCGUCUCUGCGAUUUCGGCAAAUGGGGAGAUGAAUGACGGGAUGGCUUGCACCAUGGCCACAAACAAGAUUAAGGGAUGAAUAGUACAAAGUUCAUUCAUGGGCGAGGACCCUUGAAGAAAACAACAGGCUGACGGCAAAUGAAGAAGAAAACAGAACACCUUACGGACUCCCUCUUCGACAACGAAGCUGAGCUCUCGAUCCCUUCCAACGCCGCUCCAGCUCUUGACCUCCCAACGCCGCGCUUGAUCCUGGACGACAAAACAAAACUCGCUCCAGUUGACAGCCUCCCCACACCUAAAAUGGAACUGGCCUUCACUCUCUCCUCAGACAACAAAGCCAGCAAUGCCGGACACCUUGAAGAAAAAGGAUCACAAGUACCACCGUCUUAGCAUGAUAUCCGCUAUGUAGCAAUCUACUGUAUUAUUAUAACUGGCUAAUAUACCGCUUUAGGUACUCAAUCCUAUGAAAUAUGUAAUCAAGUACGAGCAUGCACCAAUACCACUAGCUAAUCCCUGUUCCAUGAACGAAA